rfam:Dipodomys ordii contig_89196, whole genome shotgun sequence.
GGAUGUGAGGGUGAUCUGGCUGCGACAUCUGUCACCUCAUUGAUCGCCAGGGUUGAUCCGGCUGAUCUGGCUGGCUAGGCAGGUGUCCCCUUCCUCCCUUGUCGCUCCACGUGCGUGCGUCCCUCCUGAAGCUGCGCUGUCGGUGAAGAGGACGACCCUCCCCGAUAGAGGAGGACCGGCCUUCGGUCAAGCGUAUAUGAGUAGCUUCGCCCCCCUGCUAGAACCUCCAAACAAGCUCUCAAGGAAUAUGGUUGCUAGCCUUGCUGACUUUUAUUUAAAAGAAAUAAUAAAGAAGGGCUGGGAAGGUGGCUCAGUGGUAGAGUGCUU